AAUUUUUGACAAUGGGGGAAACCCUGAUCCAGCCAUCCCGCGUGUAUGAUGAAGGCCUUCGGGUUGUCACGUACUGUUGGCAGGGAAGAAAAGGUAUCUCCUAUUACGAGAUACUGCUGACGGUAUCUGCAGAAUAAGCACCGGCUACCUACGUGCCAGCAGCCGCGGUAAUACGUAGGGUGCAAGCGUUAAACGGAAUUACUGGGUGUAAAGCGUGUGUAGGCGGUUCGGAAAGAAAGAUGUGAAAUCCCAGGGCUCAACCUUGGAACUGCAUUUUUAACUGCCGAGCUAGAGUAUGUCAGAGGGGAGUAAAAUGCCACGUGUAGCAGUGAAAUGCGUAGAUAAGUGGAGGAAUACCGAUGGCGAAGGCAGCCCCCUGGGAUAAUACUGACGCUCAGACACGAAAGCGUAGGGAGCAAACAGG
rnacentral:rRNA from 1 species